rnacentral:RNase_P_RNA from 1 species
CGAGUCGGGCAGACGGCCGCGUCGGUGAGUGAUCACCGCCGAGGAAAGUCCGGGCUCCACAGGGCACGGUGGUGGCUAACAGCCACCCGGGGUGACCCGCGGGACAGUGCCACAGAGAACAGACCGCCCGCUCCGGCAACGGGUGCGGGUAAGGGUGAAACGGUGGUGUAAGAGACCACCAGCGACCUGGGUGACCAGGUCGGCUUGGUAAACCCCACCGGGAGCAAGCCCAGACAGGGUGCGAUUGAGGGCGGCCCGCCCGAGCACCCGGGUAGGGCGCUGGAGGUGCCUGGCAACAGUCACCCGAGAUGGAUGGCCGUCCCCGCCGCGAGGCGGGACAGAACCCGGCUUACCGCCCGACUCGUCCG